UACAGAAAUAGACAAGAUCAUUAUAAAAAAAUGAAGGUAUAACAAUGAGCCGGAGGCCUAUGUUACCUCUGAAUGAUGCUCUUAUCAUACAGCUCACCCUCUGGGGUCUGCAUGAUGGCGUAGUCUUCCUUAGUUACUCCAUGACUAGCUGAUCGAGUAAGCCCCUCAGUAAUAUGACUCAUUACUCGAGGCAGUAGUUUGUUGGGUGAUAGGCAAGAAAGGGCACCGACUGCAUUCUUCACUGCCUAAAACACGCAGAGCAAAGAUGAACAUUUUUGGAUCCUCAUGUAUUAGAGCAGAACAGACCACAGACCGCGGCGGGCUUCUUCUGAAAGUGAUGAGUGACACAGUAGAGUUAGUUAAAUCAACCACACGCAAAAAAGUCACUUUGGAGAUAUGUAGUCAUAGUCGUGUGGUUGCACCUAUUGAUGGAUGAUGGGCAACUAUGAGGGUUUCCAUGGCCAAACUUUCAGAUUCAGUCAUAUCACCACUAGCAGCAGAGCAAACCACAGUCAGUGCCUCAUGCAGGACACGGGGUAAGACAUAGGUGCGGCCAAGCUCCGUUAAAUCCCCAGAAUCGGACACCAGUGCAUCCUGGUCGAGAACCUGACAAAAAUUGCAGGCCGUGAGCUAGGCUGGAGCCGCCCAGAGAUGAGAGAAGCUUCCGAACGGUCUGUUGGACACGUUUUCGUACCCGCCAGCUCCGAGACAACAGGACUGAAACAGUGGCAUGAUGAUACAUCCUAAAAGAACAGUGAAACAACCAUACAUUAACAACUGUCAGUGGGUUUUAAAAGGGGAAAUAAAAUGAUAAUGUUAUGACUGAAUGUCAAAGAAACAUGAUCAAGAGUAUCUAUAAAAACUAUAUAUAAAACUAUCUAUAAAUACUACAGUCAGAAAAUAUACAGAAUUUACAGAUAUUUCAAGUUAAUAACUGAUUUAACAAGCGAUUAAAAUAACUAUUUGGAAAAUGAGGGAAAAUAAGAAAAAUAAAGAAAAAUAAUAAAAACUCCACAACUCACUGGGAUUUGCCAGAGUUUAGUCGAUGGGCGUGGUCCAAGAUAAGCCUUUCACAGAGCAGGAGCACAGAAAGUUGCGCUACAAAAAAAACAAAAAAAAAACAAGGCCUUAAAAUUAACUCAUUAAGCUUCCAUCGUUUUUAUCUCCUUACUAUCUUCAUUGGCCUGGGACAGGAACUUCUCUGUUGUGAAAAGUGGCUUUUUCUCAUCCAAAAUCAAACUCCAAAAGUUGGCCAGUUUAGACUCUGGAAGCAAAACAAACAUUAAA